GCUCGGAUGGCGGAAUUGGUAGACGCGCUAGAUUCAGGUUCUAGUGGGGGCAACCCCGUGGAGGUUCGAGUCCUCUUUCGAGCA
rnacentral:tRNA from 1 species